UAUGCCAUCUUACAGAUUGCAUAAAAAUUGUUAUAAUAUGAUGAUUUUGUACGAUAGAAAUGGAAAACGUAAUUGGGUCACAGAUGUUAAACAUUUACUAUUUUCUACUGGUUUCGGUAAUAUAUACUGCCUAG